AUUGAACGCUGGCGGCAUGCCUUACACAUGCAAGUCGAACGGUAACAGGUCUUCGGAUGCUGACGAGUGGCGAACGGGUGAGUAAUACAUCGGAACGUGCCCGAUCGUGGGGGAUAACGAGGCGAAAGCUUUGCUAAUACCGCAUACGAUCUACGGAUGAAAGCGGGGGAUCUUCGGACCUCGCGCGGACGGAGCGGCCGAUGGCAGAUUAGGUAGUUGGUGGGAUAAAAGCUUACCAAGCCGACGAUCUGUAGCUGGUCUGAGAGGAUGAUCAGCCACACUGGGACUGAGACACGGCCCAGACUCCUACGGGAGGCAGCAGUGGGGAAUUUUGGACAAUGUGCGAAAGCCUGAUCCAGCCAUGCCGCGUGCAGGAUGAAGGCCUUCGGGUUGUAAACUGCUUUUGUACGGAACGAAAAGCCUCUUUCUAAUAAAGAGGGGUCAUGACGGUACCGUAAGAAUAAGCACCGGCUAACUACGUG
rnacentral:rRNA from 1 species